UAAACCUAAAGGCGCAAUGAAAGUGAAGGUUCCGCCUUGUGCGGACCGAGGGAAGAUGGGGCGUGCUCCUGCGCGACCCCCGCAUUCCCGGGGCGUCUCGUUCUCAUUGCGAGUUGAGGCGCACCCAGAGCGUACACGUUGGGACCCGAAAGAUGGUGAACUAUGCCUGGCCAGGACGAAGUCAGGGGAAACCCUGAUGGAGGUCCGUAGCGAUUCUGACGUGCAAAUCGAUCGUCGGAGCUGGGUAUAGGGGCGAAAGACUAAUCGAACCAUCUAGUAGCUGGUUCCCUCCGAAGUUUCCCUCAGGAUAGCUGGUGCUCGAACGAGUCUCAUCCGGUCAAGCGAAUGAUUAGAGGCCUUGGGGCCGAAACGACCUCAACCUAUUCUCAAACUUUAAAUGGGUGAGAUCUCCGGCUUGCUUAAAGCACUGAAGCCGUGAGACCUUUUUGGAUCGGAGUGCCAAGUGGGCCACUUUUGGUAAGCAGAACUGGCGCUGUGGGAUGAACCAAACGCAGAGUUAAGGCGCCCGAAUAGACGCUCAUGGGAAACCAUGAAAGGCGUUGGUUGCUUAAGACAGCAGGACGGUGGCCAUGGAAGUCGGAAUCCGCUAAGGAGUGUGUAACAACUCACCUGCCGAAGCAACUAGCCCUGAAAAUGGAUGGCGCUGAAGCGUCUUGCCUAUACUCUGCCGUCAGCACGGCAAUGAGGGGUGCGCGGUUCGCUUCGGCGUGCCCGCCCCGUGAGGCCCUGACGAGUAGGAGGGUCGCGGCGGUGAGCGCAGAAGGGUCUAGGCGUGAGCCUGCCUGGAGCCGCCGUCGGUGCAGAUCUUGGUGGUAGUAGCAAAUACUCCAGCGAGGCCCUGGAGGACUGACGUGGAGAAGGGUUUCGUGUGAACAGCCGUUGCACACGAGUCAGUCGAUCCUAAGCCCUAGGAGAAAUCCGAUGUCGAUGGGGUCCGAGACUUUGAGUUAGGACCCCAUGGGGCGAAAGGGAAUCCGGUUCCUAUUCCGGAACCCGGCAGCGGAACCGUAAUAAGUCGGGCCCCUCGCAAGAGAAGCUCGUCGGGGUAACCCAAAAGGACCCGGAGACGCCGUCGGGAGAUCGGGGAAGAGUUUUCUUUUCUGCAUGAGCGUUCGAGUUCCCUGGAAUCCUCUAGCAGGGAGAUAGGGUUUGGAACGCGAAGAGCACCGCAGUUGCGGCGGUGUCCCGAUCUUCCCCUCGGACCUUG
rnacentral:rRNA from 1 species